CUAGAGAUUCAAAAGAAUGCCUGAGCAAAAAAACCCCCCCAAAAAACAACAUUGAUAUUUUAUAGUUCCCACAAAAUUGGUAGCCUGUAUUGAAUCUCGGCUUGUACAAAUAUCCAUCCAUGCCUUUUGGAAUCCCUUCUGAUGUAAAAGAGAUGAGGAUUUACAGCUAGCGUAGGAGAGGCUAAGGGAUUUAAGUAUUUCAGCAUACUGGAACAAGCCAGACCUGAGCUCUGUGAUGUACACUUGUGCAGGCUUAAAUUCUUUUAGUCUGUGUUGGUCUGUAAAGCUCUUCAUGGCUGAGUGAGCGAGCAAAGGCACUGUUGGCUCCUGCAUCUCUACUAGACAGUGUAUGUGACCUCAAGACAGUACUUAGAGCUACUCCACUCAGACACAGUCCAUUACAUCCUGGACUUGGUUAGACUUUGUGGCCAGCCUGGCUCUGUUCACUCUCCCUUGUAAACACAUAAACAUGCACUCACAUGCAAUUACAUGUACAGUCUAAAUUGGCACUCUCCUGCCCAAUUCAACAACACCACACAGCACAGGAUGAAGCCCUCUUCUAAACUAAGUAAAUGGGCUGAGGGUUUGCUGGCGGAUAGAAAGAUUCCCUUCCCAAAUAGGGAGCAUAUUUAGAUGUGGCCUACAAGUAUAGCUAGGUCUAACAUGAAGGUGGUCACUGGUUCUCCUAUGCAAUUUAAGGCCAACAGCAGGGCUGUUUUGUUGAAGUCCCCGGUUGUCUCGGCUCAUGUACCACCAGAGUCCACUCUGUAAUCUAGCUGUGUAGAGACUGGACCCGCACUGGGCUUCCAGCCUUGGAAGGAGACUAGUUGUCUGCAUCUGUGUGCCAAACUGAAAAAGCUUUACUGAUCCACCACAGGCACACAUGCAAUUAAAGACCAAAAAUAGUCACGGCAGUAGAGUGAUUAAGUUUAGUAGAAUUCUGUCUACUCAAAUACAAUGUGGAAAUCUUAAACAUGCACACAUAAAGGCUUUGUGGUUCAUCUUGGCCUAAUGAUGAUGAAUACAUGAGUAGACAGCAUGUCUGUGGUGUGGUGUGAACCCUGUGUGGCUUACGCAUUCCUGAGCACUUGAAACACAAAGUUUUUUCAUCUCCAUGCCUACCCUCUUUAAUGUCUUCUACUUAAAAACAUAAUCUGAAACAUCAUACUUACAUUUAUUAGCCGGACCUGAUCAGCUGCCCAGUGGUGAAAGUGGGAUGUUGCAGUGUCAGAUGUGGACUGUUGAGGAUAUCAACUGGUGUAGUCUAUAUUUUUGUUUUUAUCUUUAAUAUGAUGGUCUCUCAUUUUGAACCAAAACAAUUAUUGGACUUAAUGAUUAGUCAGUUGGCAUAAAAUGAAUCUGGAAGAGUUUUGACAAUCGAUGAGAUGUUAUCUUUGCAGCAACAAUGCCAAACAUUACCUACAACAUCUUAAUUUUAACAAGAUCACUCUAAAGAGCAAGUUUUUGUACUUAUUUUCACAAUUUUGUGAGGUUUUAUAGACUAAACAAUUAACUUAAGAAAAAUAUUGGCAUAAACUUUGACAAAGAAAAUCUUUGUUGCUGUUUUACUCCACCGCCUAAUGAAUGACAUAAUCCUGAAUGCAAAUGCGCAAUCAAGCCAGAGGACAAUGCCGUCUUUCUUGUAUGUAUUUCAAGUGUAUUUGUUCUCAAGUACACACAAGAGUGCAUUUUCCCAUUCUUUACAUUCCCAACUGCACUUCAGCUUCUUUGAGCUCGUCUCAAAUAGGCUUGGGCUGUGCAACGCUUGCAUUUAUCCACAGGGUAAACAACACAAGGCACAUGGCGAUACGCCCGUCCCUUUCAUCUCCCUCUCCAUCCUGUCUUUCUUACUCCUUGCUUUGCAGUUGCCUAAAUAUUUAACCGAAAAUACUUUCCACCCUUACUCCAAAUCCUCUUCAGCUAUCUUUCAAUCUCCUUCUCUGUUUCUUUUCAAAGCAUGUGCUCGGAGCCAAAAGAGCCACUCAGCCUGGUUUAAAAUCAGCACCCCUCUUUCUUUUUCAUUUCCCUGAAGAAGUAGCUCCACCAGGUGCCAUGUGCGGAGCAGAUGACCUGUUUUAGCUGUGAAUUAUACAGUGAAUUCCAGUCACGCCAUAUAAUCACUUUAUGCUAUAGUAUGAUCCCUGUUGUGUGUCAAAGGAUGAUUACAUCUGCACAUCACAAUGCCAAUGCGGCAAUCUGGCUGCUCCAACCUCCGCUAUCAGAAAAUGCUUGAAGCCUGUGUGCGUUUCAUAUGGUCUGUCACCGAGCUGACAGCAUCUCAGCAUUAACCGCACACACAUGUUCAACACGCAAAAGGCAUCCGCGCUCUCAUCUGUCCACUUGAAUUCGGAAUCACAAACUCUUCAUAGACUUUAUCCAACACCCACAAAGCACUUCUAAAUCUAUCAUGUUUUCACUUCCCAACUGAUGUGGUUUUCUCAUAAAUACAUCAUCAGUAAGUGCUACAUAUGUAGGAAAGGAAUGCACACAGCCUACAACAGAUUCUUUAAUGGAGUCCUAUGAGGCUGUACACGGUAGUGGUUUGGCAUAAAAGCUACAAUCAGCCCUGAAGUACGCAUGCUCUCAACGUUCAUCAUCCUAGUGUAGUGAGUUAGCAUGGAACCUUUUGCUGAUUUGCAACAAAGACAAAGCAUACCUGAAGCUGAAUAGAGUAGAUUACUAAAGUAAACUGUUGGACACGUUACAGUCCUGACUUAUGAUCGAUCAGGUGACCACCAAAGUCAUUCUAGUUUAUCCCAAAGAAAACAUGAAGGGCUGUACCAAAUUUCAAUCCAUCCAGUGGUGGCUGAGAUAUUUCACUCAAAACCACAAAUUUAGAGGAAUUUAUCCUCUGUUAUCCAAUAACUGUCAAGCCUGCUGGAGGUGCUAAGGGCAGAAGUCAAGGGAUAACAAAAGGAGUUAUCUUCUGGGUACCAUGAAUGACAUUUCAGUCAGGAUCAAAGUGGCCAAACAACCAACAGAGAGACAAUACGAUCCCUAGAGACACUGCUAGCAUGGCAGUCAAUUAAAAACCCCUCUUGCUUGGUUAAACUUGGAGGAGGAAACAUUCUCUCGACUCCGCUCAAAGAAAAAGGAUAUGGUAAACUUGGCUGUGCCGUAGCACCCACAGCUGUUCUGUCCAUCCCUCACACUCAAAUGCGUCCACCAUCUGCCUGCUCAGCCAAUAAUGUGUCAGAAGAAGAUGUCCAUAAAUUACCAUCGGAGUCUGGCAGUGCAUCGAUUCAGAGCAGAACCACUGCUCUGAUCGCAAGCUGUUUGGCCCAUUUAUUAUCUAUACUGAGCACAUGAGGUCAUUUUAGUCAUACCUACAAUUUUAUUAAACAUGCUGAUAAACUAAGAAAAGAAAGCCAGGAGAGAAUACCUGAACAGCCGCUAUUCUCUUUGCAUCUUCAAUGUGCCAUUUGUAUGAUCCUAUACUACAAUACUGAGAGAACUGGAUGAAUUUAACAAAAGGCAGCAGAAAAAACAAGAUUUUAAAUUAUAGCCCUGGAUGAAAGUAGGAGUUAGGACAACAGAAGAGAGAGUGCUCUAUUUACACAAGGAACAUACUGAGGGUUUGAAAUGACCUCUUGAGGGAUCGGAUCGUGCUUUUCAUCGAGAACAAGUGAUGCAGAUGGCAGUCCCUCCUCUAAGAAACUGGACCUCAUGAACUCUUGUUUGGGAGUUGGUCAGUAGAUAGGAAUUGAAAGGAAUGAGGGGGAUUUCUCUCACAUUCCACAACAAGAGAAACAUCUCAAUAGGUCUCUAUCUGUUCCUUGCAAAAAUAAUUUUAAGGGUCAAGGCAAAAACAAGUUCAUUUAUUAAUCAGGCCUUCCUUUGACCUGUUAAUGACUGGGCGAUACAGCUGAUAAUUAAUUUCCAAGUGUUUGGAGCAUUUUGUAUAAUGUCCACUAUGAAAGAAGAGUCACUGUUGAUCUGUUCUGGCCUCUCUUCAUCUCCAACAUAAACAAAAUAGCCUAAUGAAGUUAAAGAGCAGUUUACACUAGAAAUGUGGAAACAAAUUUAGUUGAAAUAAAUGAAAAACACAAACAGUGAAACUCUGCUUGGAUUUUGUUCAGUUUAUUUUUCAUUUCAACCAAGUGUUUCUUAAAGGUGUUGUGUAUUUUAACGGAGCGCAAUGGGAUGUUUUUAACAAACCCCGAGUAGCCAAAGGGGUUUUACAUAGCCAGUAAUAAUCCAUCAGAAAAUGCCUGGAGUUGCUCAUACCAGAUCCUGUGAUUUGGCUUGGGACAACCCCAGUGCUGAGUUGUGGUACACCAAUGGGCUGGAACUGUUGUAUAAUCUAUAAACUCAGAUCAGAACUAACUUUUCUGUGUUUUCAGUUUCAGUUUCACUCUAAAAUUCCAAAAGAGAAAAAAAAAGAAAAGAAAAAUAAAAGAAACUGUGUCCCCAAGAAGCAGGCAAUAAACAACAACUCCGGCUGUGUGCCUGAGGUGCCCAUUUUCAUCCAAUGUUUUAAUUAAAUUGCUGCUUGUGUUGCAUUAUUUACCCCAUGACACAAUUUAUAAUGGCCACUGCAGACUAAUGAGUCACCAUAUGAAGUUAAACUUUCCUCAGAACUCCAGAUAGUUGUACCCUGCAGAGCGUAGACUUAGUUGCCACUUCAUUGGGUAGUUCUCACUGGGAGCCUUCUUCAACAGACCUGCAGUAACCCUGCAAUCAUAAAGGCUGCAGAUUCUAUCAGCGAGGGUAGACUGCACAUUAGAAACACCACUCAGCCUAACACAUCAACACCUCUCACAGACAGUUUUAACAAAGCAUUACAGUCUUCCCAAAUGACACCAACCUUACGUAACCGCCAUUACAAACCAAAAACAAUUAGAGAUGAAAUGUUAUCAACAACAGCAAUCCGAAACAGGCCGCCACAGUUGUCCUGAAUCAAUUAAGGGAUUAAAGUGAAUGCCAACCAGGCACAGAAUACAGGCCUUACAUCACUAACUUAUGUAACUGACAGCAUCGGUAACUGUAUAUCAAGGCAGCAGUGUCUCUGAUGGAAGGAAUUCUAUAACACUGCAGAUUUGGGAUAGAUGUAGAUACAAAUGCUGCUGCCAUGAAAGGUGCUGUGUUGGGACAAAGGAGCUGAAUGUGGAGCUGACAGAAUCUUUCAAGUACAGUAUACACACUGUUCGUACAUUUGCUCCGAUAUGUAAACUGUGCGUGUGAUUCCUUGUUGCUGUCUCUGACAUGCAUCUGAAUGAUUUCAGUGGGCGAGCUUUUCUUUCAGCACAGGAUAGUCCACAGCAAUUAGUAUGAGGCUUUUCUGCUGCACACGUUUGGCCCUGUUGCGCAAGCUUUCACUGCAUGUCAUGAAUGUGAACAGACCGUGUGGAUACUCACGCCUGGUGUGAAAAAGGCUUGCGGAUAUAAAUGUCCAACAAAGUGAAGUUUAAGUGCAGGUUUUUGGCCGUUUUGUAAAUUCUUGCGUGAUGGCAACAUGACACAGUGGGAAUAAUUCUUUUACUUGGGACCUAUAUGGGUUUGCUUGACAGAAAAAAUACCUCCAGAGGUUUAUUUCCCCAGUGAAAGCUGGAACGAGCAGCCAUAGCGCAAAUAAGUGCUCCCAGAGGGGAACAUGACCAAAUCUAUAUUUAUGUUUUUCUCCUGCAGCACGAUCAUCUAACAAGCUCAAAGAAUAGCACUCUUUUUUUUUCUUAGUUACAACUUAUGCCAGUUCUUGUGGUGACGGACAAGACAGACUCUGAGAAUCAAAGUGUAACCUGUCAUUCCUCGCCGCUCCACUGAGCACAUAGAUUUGAUUUGAGUAAUGCAACAACAAGAAUGCGUCGAAAACGAAGGAAUUGAUGGCAUGAGAAAGAUAAAAAAACAGCAGUUACAAAAUGUACAAUCGAAAAGAAAGAGAUAUAGAAAAGGGCGCGGGGAGGAGAGGGAAAGAAAGACACAGAGAAAAGAGACAUAUGGAUGUAAUUGAGGGUCGAUGAACUGAUGAUGUCAUCUCCCAGUCAGGUUAUCAGGCCCCAGGCAAAGCAGCUACAACUCACAAAACAUGUCUCUCUUCUUAAAACAUGAGAGCACCACACACAUACACACGCACACACACACACACAUGCACGCACAGAAACACCACACACACAGCAUAUAAUACAGUUUGCAUGCCUCUGGAAGAGUCACGGGUCCAUGGACAAGCCAUGCAUGGUUAACAUGUUUGCUCAAACUAAUCCAAUGACAUGAGAGUGUUAUCUUUUGGAGUUUUAAUUGUGAUUUAAGUUUUAGCUUACUUUGUGAGCACACACACACACACACACACACACACACACACACACACACACACACACACACACACACACACACACACACACACACACACACACACACACACACACACACACACACACACACACACACACACACACACACACACUCUGUCCUUCCCAUUAGCCUCUUUGGCAUGGCUGCACCAUGACCUCAUCUGCAAUGGGCUGAACUCCAGAAAAAACACACACUUGCACACACACACACACAGCACUAGAGCCUGUACAGUCCCAUAUAAGGACUUGCUGAUGAUGUAAUGGGCGCCACUGACUGCGAAUGAGACUCAGUGUGCAGAGCACUUCUCAUAAUGUUUGGUUUUCCGGAUGGAAUGUCCACAUCACUGGGAUCUCCGGGAAAGGGAGAGGUGAAGGAGUACAGAGACAAUUUAUUCUCUGAGGAUUGUAAAAGGACGCAGGCCAGCUCAACCGCACAGACUCAAGUUCCUGAUUAUAAAGGAGAGAGAAUACCAGGAAAUAAAGCAGGAGAAAAAAGAGAGAGAAGUCUCAUUUCUAGAAGAGGAGCUGACCACGCUGAAGGCCUUUGCACUGCUGGUUGUAAAGGAGCAACGGCGUCUG